rnacentral:rRNA from 1 species
UACAGAGGUCUCAAGCGUUGUUCGUAUUCAUUGGGCGUAAAGGGUUCGUAGGCGGCGCGGUAAGUCGGGUGUGAAAUCUUGGAGCUUAACUCCGAAACUGCAUUCGAUACUGCCGUGCUUGAGGACUGGAGAGGAGACUGGAAUUUACGGUGUAGCGGUGAAAUGCGUAGAUAUCAGGAGGAACACCGAUGGCGAAGGCAGGUCUCUGGGCCACUACUGACGCUGAGAAGCGAAAGCAUGGGGAGCGAACAGG